CAAUCAUCUUUAUGAAACAAAAAUGACAACAGGAAUAAAGAUACAUGUGCUAAGCUUGCUAUAUGAUAGAUUGCAGUAAAAACCAAAAGAGAAAUUCAUCAAUUAACAAAAGGGGAUGGAACAAAAUGUGAAUCAACAGCAGGCAUGCUGCUCUGUUAAAAACAUGUAAAUUGGCAUGCUUCAGUGUCCCUUUGGAGAGGAUUUUGGCAAGAUACUACACGCACCACAUUUGCCCUUAUACACUAAAAACCUUAUCUUGAAGUGACAUUGACAGACAAAUCCAUCAGCACUUAAGUAGUAGUGUAAGAAUAUUGUCCUUUUUGGGGGAAAAUGAGUUCACAACGUUUACUUUGCUCUUUGUUCAGUCUUCCCUUUCCAUCUGUUUUGCUUCUCAGAUGGAAAAACCAUCAGCAUGUGAUCAGCCAAGUCUCUCCAGACCUAUGAAGGGAUCAGUCACCAUUCACCUUGUUAGCUGAGGCCGAAUGGAGCCCAGAAAUCUGCAGUAUGAUGGGUGAUUGUCCUCAUUCCAGAUGAAGUUGUGACCUGCAGCCUAAAGGAGUAUUACAUAAAAGUAAUACUCCACCAGGCAAGAAGCCAUGCUGCUUGGCACCAGAGCGAGCGUUGUAUGCUGAGAGCUGUAUAUCAGUUCUGAAGGGAGGAGCAAUCUACUCCAUUUAAAACACAGACUCCCCCGUGCCCUGCAUGCUCAAGCAUCUUGGGGGCCAGUGACAGCAUAUCUAGCUUGUUGACAACAGGUGGCCUCUUCCUCCAAAUGGAGCUGAACACGGUUUGACCUGACUUGACCCUUGGAGUAGAUGGGGCCAAGUCACUUUAACACUCAUUACACAAAGCAUGCCAGACUUUCAAUCCACCAGGGCUCUAACAAGCCCUUUGUAACAGGUGUUGAAAAUGCCUUUGUCCACAAUUGUAACCAGUCUGUUUCAGCCCUAGUCGAUGGAAGUUGAGGAAGAACUGUGGUUGACUGUAGUUACCAUCUACAGGUCAUUUUCCUGGUAUAUAAGUAACCGUAAGGCACCGAAUGCAUUUAGCAAGUCACUGAACUUCAGCAUAGUACAAGUUUCCCUUGCCAACCACGGGAGUUAGGUUCCUGAAAGUUACUGUGGUUGGCAAAACCGGCAGGGCUGGGGGAGCAGGGGCUGUGGGUGGGCGGUGAGGGGCACCAGCAAGGCUGUAGGGGCUGUAGGGGGGAGUGCAAGGCAUGAGCAGGGCCAGGGAGGCCAUGGGGGGUAUUUUCAGACUGUACCCCACCUUCUCUGAAGCAUGGAUACUCAAAACUGUGGUUGGCGAGGGAAACCUGUAGUAACUACACCAUGGCAGGAUGUUCACUCCAAGCCCAGGCCCUCAUUUAAAAUGGUACACAUGUUUAUGUGUAACUUUAACCACAGGAGUUCAUUGAGCACCAAGUAUAUUAAGCUCUGACUUCAACUGCCAUGUGCUUAAAUGCACUGGAUCGGGCCUCAGAAUGUAAUAGGAGCCCCAAAGAUGCAUUAAUGCCAGGAUUCAUGCACUUGGAGCAGUUCACCACUUAUCCGAUAUGCUACAUUUCUCACAGGCUGGAAAGCGGCACCUUUAUUCUUACCUUUAGUUCACAGUCUUCAUUCACAGCCAGAUUGCCUGGCUUUAGGUCCUGAGACAGACAAAAUCAGAAUAGUCAGAACACGUUGGAUUGCAACUCACUACCCAAGAUACCAAUGUGAUAAGUUCAGCACCCAUAUAAAUUACAAGGACCUUUCUUUCCUGGAGCUCUUUCAUGUAAGGAGUGUCACAAAAUGUAACAUUUUAUCGAAAUAUUGCUGAGAUAUUAGAGCAAAGCCAGGCGUACAUAAGGCAGGAGGGAAUAAAAUGAGACAGCCAAAGAGAAGGGGGUUUUAGUCUAGGGAGUACUUAGGGAGGCAAAGACAAUGUUCAGGGACCCGGCAGAAGCUGUUAACUUUAUGGCUGAGUUGUGGUUCUCUCUGAACGGAAAUAAAAUUAGAGUAAUGAAGCACAGGGACUUACCCUGUGAAUGAUUCCAGCAGAAUGAAUAUACUGCAAUAAAAAGGGAAGCCACAGUGUGAUCACCAGCCAAUAAAUCUUUCCUUUCCCCAAAGGAGAAACACAUGUUACAAGCAGGAGUCUGCCUGCUGAGACCAAAACAACUUGAAUUCUUCCUCUCCAAGACCCGUGCCCUCAAUCCUGUGACUCUACUGUACAGAUCACAGCUAUGGAGGAAAAACAACUGCUGCUAAAAGAUAAAUGGCAAGCUAAAAUGAUGGAGUGAAGGUAAAAAGCAUGUUGAAAUAAAUAAAUGAGCUGGAAUCAGUACUGAAGAGGGGAUGACAGGAGAAAAACCUCUUGUGAUGAUGAAAGAACACAGAGAAGCUGUUCCAAGAGCACUGUACAUCAAUACUGUAGAAAGAAACAUCCCAGUGGUUCCCAGCAGAGGACAGCAAAUCCUAACUCCAUACAUUUCCAUUCAUGCUUCCCCCAGGAAUUGAACACCAAAAUUGAGCCUAUAGUAUACAGCAUUCAUUGAACAGGUAAUUGUGAUACCACUUGACUUACUCACCUGUAUCUAGUUCCCUUGUCUGGGAAUUUCUACAGUAGCUGAGAACCUUUCUUUAAAAGC